GUGGUGCGGGGAGCCGCGGGGGCGGAGCGGAGCAGCGUUCCAGCUUCUGCGCCCCCGGAGCCCCGAGCGCCGUCUGUCUCCACGCUGUGAAUGGCUGUGAGGGGGUCGGUUUCCGUCGAGCUGUAAAUGCCGACAUCGAAGACGAGCGGAGCUCGGGGGCGCGUCCGCGCCCGUGCCGAGCGGCCCCAGGGCCCCGGACCGAGGGCCGCUUCUCUGAGAGGAGAGGCCUGUUGUGGAGGGGCCGCAGGGGCUCCCGCCCACUUCCCGCGCCUGGCAGCGAUUCCCGGCGCCUCCCGCCGGUCGGUCUCCUGGUAACGCCCACUAUGAGCCCCUGAGGAGGGCCUUUUAACAUCUUCCUUUUACAGACUAGGCUGAAGCUGGAAGUCAGGUCGCUUACUCGAGGACACACAGCUAGUGAGUGACCAGGUAGACCGCCUUGGCGGCCUCGCCAUUGCCCUGGCUGUGCGGUUGAUCGCAGGGGUGCCCCGUGGCCUCUGGGGGGUCGCGGGAAAUCCCGCCAUUCUCUCCCCCUCCCGGUGGAAGAGCAGGCGUCCAGUUACCAAACCCAAACCCAGGGGUGAUUGCACUCUGGGAGAAUUGGAGAGCCCCCUGUGUCCAUGGGCGGUGUUCCCUGUGGGAGAGGGCGGCCACCAGGCGCCCCUCUGUUGUCAGUCUUUAUGGGCUCAGUGGCUUCAUAUGCUAAUAAGUGUAAGGACCAGUCUGAGUAGCCUGGGGAAAGGGCUGGGAUUCCCAGGAAGUUGGCCAUUUCCCACUCUUGACUUUUUGGCCAGCCUUGGGACUGUCAUGGGCAUGUUAUUUACCAUGUUAAUGUAUUACAAUGAGCAUAUAAUGAAGCUCAAGAAGUCAAAUCCCCCACCAUCUUGAGCCUCAAGGCCUACUGGGGUUUGAAUCUUUUGCCAUUCUGGUAUUAUUUGCUGUGGUAUUCCUUGAAUGACUGUACCUUGCCCCCUUUCCUGUCUCACACCUGCUGUGGGUACAGAGGACCCUCUGAAGGACUCCAAAAGAGAAAGUAGCAGAAAGGAGCACGACGGAAGGAGCUGGAAGCCUGCUUGAGCACAGAGUAAAGCCCCUACCAGACCCACAGGAGUGGCAGACAACGUGGGCUGGCAUGUUUAAUACGUGGUCUCAGUCCGUACGUUCAUUUUAAGCGUUUACAGCAAAAGUGCCCAUCGUCUCAUUGUUCUGUCAGCUAUUUUCACUCAGCAUUGUUUUUAAAUCGUCCCAUGAUACAGAUAUCUGGUCUGGGCUACCCACUCAAACUGCAGAGUCCUACUGUACGUCUACACUGCUCUGCAUUUACCCUGCCUUAUUAACGAGCGCUUCAGUUUUCCUCUGCUUUCCUCUAUUGCACAUACUGCAGGGAAGUAGGUCCUUGUACAGUAUCCCCAAGUCCUGUGAGCAAGGGUAUCUCUAGGAGUUAUGCCUAGAGAUGGGAUUGAAUGUGCAGAUUUUAAUUUUAGGUACUAUCAUACUGCUUUUCAGAGUGGCUGUGUACUUUAUACUCCCUUUGGUGGUGUGAAGGAAUUCCUGUUCCCCUACACCUUCACCAAUGCUCAGUACUACACGACUUUCUGAAAUUUACUAAUCUAAGGGGUGAAGAGUGGUAUCUUGGUUUUUUUUAUCAACUUCACUGAGAUGUACUUAAAAUUAAAUGUGGUUAUUUUUAGUAAAUGAAUAUAUUUGAUAAAUAAAAAUCCUCCUGUGUGACUUCCACAAUCCAGGCCUAGAACAUCUCCAUCCCCGCAAAGUGCUUCCCUGGGGCCCUUCUCCAUCAGUCCCCACUCCUGCCAGGUGUUUCAGUGAGCAAACCUGAUGGCCAGUCAGGCCAGCCCUCUAUUUCUAUCAACCAUUGGAAUGUCAGUAACUCCAGUUGUCUGAAAUGACCUCACCCAUUUUCCCACUGGGCUGCUUGUCUUUUUCCUUAUGAUGUGACGGAGUUUGUUUUCUAUUUGGGAUACUGAGUGAUUUGCCUAUUACAUAUGUUACAACAGGAGAACUUACAAACACCACCCAGGGGGACCUGCCAUCCCACCUCAGAGAACCACCCUCUGCCUUGCAGUCAGUUCUCUGCCCCCUCUUUACAUUGCACAGUGGAUCCCAAGUCCUUAUCUGGGUUGUGAAGGCUAUAACAGCCUGGCCAGCAAGGUUUCUGAAGCAAAACACAAUCUAACUGGAAUUGGGGCGGGACAGCAUUCACAAGCGGUGAGAGGUGAGGAGCAAGCAAGGGGAUCCUUAAAAUAAGUACCAGAGAGCGGCGCUGGGCCCCGAGGAAGUGCUCCUACACCCCUGCACAGCAGGGAAAGCUUCCUGGAGGAGAAGGCCUGAGGGCAGAGUGCUGUCUGUCUUAAAACAUGGACAAGAGCUGUACACUUCAAAUUACAAGAUGCUGAAGAAAGAGACUGUGAGCUGGCCUUGAGAUGAGUUAAGGCUGUGGGACCCUAAGGCCACGAUCAGAGCAUGUUUGCAGAUGCAGUAAGCAAUUGCUAUACACGUGCAUCAAUUACAUAAGAUUUAGAACAAAGAAAAUAGAAGUACGCAUAUGCUAGAGAUAUUUUGCAAGCCUAAUGAACAAAGAAACUCAGAUUGUGCAUGUGCUGGCAGAGAACAGAUAAAAAGCAGGACAGGUGCAUCAUAGGUGUGCACCUUCCUAUGGCAAUAAUGUUGUUAACCCCAUAGUGUCUCUGGCUGAAGUCUGUCCGGCGGUACAGCAACUCCUCAUGAAUUUUUUUGUUUGGGCCCCUCACCUCCUAGAACCCUACGUCAGCCUCCCUCGGCUGACACUUGGCACUGUGAGCAGGAUGAGGUGAGUGCCCCCUCUGAACCCCCUGCCCCUGACGGGGAUGCUCUGAUGGAAGCAAAGUGGCCCCCUACCUCUGUAUGGUACCCGGUGGCAGCCUAUUGGCUGACGUGGGCUCAGCCUGAAGAUGGGGACACAGUGGCACCCUGGCCAGAUGACAUCCGGAGGGCGUUGGAACUGUUAGAAAAUUAUGUCCCGUUAGCCCACUGAGAGGCAGCCGGGAGGGCGGCCUGGGUGUUCUUAUCUGUUUUACAUCACGCUAGCCAAGACAUGAGAGAUUUACGGUUGCAAGUGGAGGUGUUGCAGUGCAGAGAAGAGGAGCUUAAGCGGAGACCCAGCACAGCAGAAAGGUGUCCGCAUGGUCCUAGCUCCGCCACCACAGAGCAGCUAUGCCUGUGUAGCUCCGGUCCUACCGUCUCUGAGAGCAGUAAGCCUGGCCCCUAGCCCCAUUCCACUGUGUCUAUGGCCCAUGGUGAGGCAAUAGGUGGAACUGGAGGAGCCCAUGGCUCAGGGGGGAACUCCUGCGGGACCACAGCGAGUGACACGUGAGUAAACGGACCACGUAUUUGAACUUAGUGCAAGUUGUCUGAGAAAUGGAUGCACCAGAUGAUGUUUGCUUUGCUUUUCCAUAGUCUGAAUGAUGAACUCCUUAUAGCUUGAAUGAAAGAUUUGAUUUUGGCUAAUGGCCCAACGGGAACGUUUGGGACUAUGGCAGUGCUACUAGCACCGUAUGUAGACCGCCCCAUACAUGAAGUAACUGAGGCUCUGGCUCAUCUGGGAGACACAGAGAUGCUCCGAAAGGGGGUGCAUACUGCCAAGACUCAAGAUUUGGAAACCAGUGCCACAGCGCUGCGAGAAGCCCUGGCGGGCUGGGGGUGGGCCACGAACAAGGACAAAAUGCGAGGACCUGGAUAUUCUGUCAAAUUCUUGGGUGUUGUCUGGUCGGGUAAGACAAAAGUGCUGCCUGAAGCAGUAAUAGACAAAAUCCAGGCAUAUUCCCGCCCUGAAACAGUUAAACAGUUACAGACUUAUUUAGGUCUUCUGGGAUACUGGCGGGUGUUUAUUCCUCAUUUGGCCCAAAUAGCCAAACCCCUGUAUAAACUGAUUAAAAAGGGAGAAAUCUGAAACUGACCUGAUGAGACCAAAUAUGCAUUUGUUGGAAGUAAGAGGAAGGUGACCCAAGCGCAAGCACUGUGCACUGCAGACCCAGACCUACUUUCUGGCUGGCAGUCCGUGUGGACGAUGAUGUGAUAUGGCUGGGGCUUAUGGCAGAAACAUGGGCAGCGGAAAGUGCCCAUAGGAUUCUGGCCUCAGUUAUGGAAAGGGGCUGAAUGUCGUUUUUCUUUGAUAGAGAAACAAUUGCUAGCAACUUAUGCAUCCUUGAUUGCCACUGAACCCCUGAUGGGGAGGCAAGAGGUCCAAGUGCAGACCACAUGCCCUAUUGCAGGAUGGGUACAGGCAUGGGCAAAGCAACCCCGAUCGGGAACUGCCCAAACCCCAACUCUGACGAAGUGAGGUGCUUAUUUGGAACAGAGAGCCCAGUACACCGCUAGCACCUUGGCUGCAGAGUUGCAGCAGGUGUUAGGGCCUGUGAGACUUGUUGCCCCUGAUGUACAGACGCUCCCACAAGGGGUGGACCCUGUGCCCAGUCCCUUUCGUGAAGGGAAAGGGCCACCCCCAGGAAAUGCUUAGUAUACAGAUAGAUCUUGUAAGGGCAGUCUGCCCACUUGGGUUGCAGUAGCUCUGCACCCUGCCACUGCAGCCUUCUGGUAUGAGACUGGAGAAGGCCAGUCCAGCCAAUGGCCUGAGUUAUGGGCAGUAUGGAUGGUGUUGAUGAAUGAGCCUAGCCCCUUGCAGAUUUGCAUGGAUAGUUGGGCCGUAUAUCGAGGCCUUACAUUGUGGAUACCCCAAUGGGGCCUGCAAGACUGGAUGAUUUGGCACCGGCCCCUAUGGGGACAACAGAUGUGGAAACAGUUAUGGGACAAAGGCCAAGAAGGCCAAUAUACUGUUUACCAUGUACCAGGGCACCGCCCAGCCCUGGCACCGGGCAAUGAUGCUGCUGACACGCUAGCCCAACUUCGCCCUGUAGAGGCCAUGGUCCCAGGACCCAACAUAGGUCCCUGGCUUCAUAAGAAACUUGGUCAUGUUGGCUCAUACACAAUGAGGCAGGCAGCUGACCAGUGGGGCCUGCACCUGAGCCACAGUGAAGCCAAAGAUGCCGUGCAGCAGUGUCCAUGGUGUGCUAAGCACCACCCGCACCAGCGGCGAUGGCCCCAACAGACGAGGAAGAUUGCACGGGGAAUUCAGCCAUUGCAAGUAUGGCAAAUAGAUUACGUGGGCCCCUUUGCUCCGAGUACGGGCUUGCGGUACCUGCUGACAGCGGUAGACACCACUGCUGGCCUAGGUUUUGCUCACCAUGUGCUCCGAGCUACACAAGAGGCUACUAUUAGAGCACUGGAAGUUUUACGGGCCUUCUAUGGGACUCCCUUAGAAAUACAAAGUGAUAGAGGGACCCCUUUCACUGCCCAACAGGCCCAGGAGUGGGCCAAAGAAAAUGACAUUAACUGGGUAUUGCAUGUGCCUUACUGUCCUCAAGCAGCAGGAAUGAUUGAACGGUACAAUGGCCUAUUAAAGGAGAAACUGAGGGCUCUCAAACCACAAUGGUGAGGCUGGAACAGUGUCGUGCCGCAGGCAGUACGUCUUUUGAAUGAACAACCUCGCCAUACAGGUAUGAGCCCACUGGAAAAGUUAUUGCAAGGGACUAUUCAGAGGCUCAGAGUUGGGCCCAUGCAGAAUACCUCUGAAGUCUCAGUAAUGGGGCGUUAAUAUUACACGCCCCCAGGGUGUUGAACUCGGGACAACAGGACACCUGGACAUGGAAGAAUCAGGUCCAGACUGAAGGCCCCUGGCUAGCCCUUUUGGCACCAUGGGGCGAUGGGCUAGAGAAAGCCCUGCAGGUAACCCCAUGAGUGGGGGAAUAGCCUUUUGAUGUGCAGGUUACUCUAGGGAAAACAGGAGUGUCCCCACUUAAAGGAGCAGAAGCCCUACGGCUUUGGGCAAUUCCACUGAUAGCUCCUGAAGCUCUCCCAGAGUGUAACCAACCUAGUGUGGGCGGGUUGGUGUGGUACCACCGCCCAGGGCGAACAGCCCUUCCUGCCACUGUACUCUCACAGGAUGAGAAACUGCUUGCAUCCUCCCAGAAGGGAGAGAUUUGCCAAUCAUGGUGUUCACCUCUGCUCUGUCCUUCCAUCCAGGGUAACAGCAAAUACCAUAUUCUCCUGGGCAUACACAUUCGCGUGAGUCCACCACGCCUCUCACUGUUGGGUCUGCACUGAACUUCCCGUAGACGCAGGAGAUGGACUGCUGUGGCACCUCCACCCCGCGUCCAGAGCUAAUUGGUACACCUUGGUUUGAUGGAAUGCCAACAGGACAGCGAGAUUGCCCUGGGACUUGCGGCGGCAGACUAUUGAAAAGAUCCCCUGACGUGAGCAGGGCAAUGCCCCCCCCCCAAAUUGGAAGGACUGUAUGGAAUGGGUGGGGAUGGAUGAAUAGUGUUCAUGUAAAAGUGAGAAAUUUUAGCCCUCUCUGUAUUGAGCAGCAGUUUGAACACGAGGCUCCAAACCGCACUGUGGGGUGGCUCCCAGAAGAGCUGUGUGCCAAAAUUACUUACAAUGUAAAUGCCUCCACCUGGUGGGAUGGAUGACCUCUAAUUGGCACAAAACCCACCGAUUUCCUGCCACCAGGGUACCUGUGGGUAUGUGGCACCCACGGAUGGUCUUAUCUCCUGGCUAAGUGCACAUGGCGCUAUACUUGGGGUAGAGCUUACUUGCCUAGACAUACCCAGCCCACUUUAACAGAGCGCCCCACAAACUGGGACCCACUGCACACCCAGUGGCACAGGGGGAAGCAUGCAGCUUGGUGGUUUUAUCCCAUGGUCCUGUUCCUACCUGGUGCUGGGCCCAUCAGUGUCAAAUUGCAGGUAGAAGCUUUGACUCAGCUUAUCAGCUGUGCUGAAUGUUACUAGAAAAGCUAUGGAGGAAUUGUUAGAUGAGACUACCCAGAUGCGAAAUGUGGCCUUACAAAAUAGAAUGGCAUUAGAUAUUCUCACUGCAAGCCAGGGUGGCACAUGUGCUAUGUUACAUAUUGAAUGUUGUAUCUAUGUACCAGAUCACCAGGAGGAAGUAGCCAAGGCACUGCAUGAAAUAGAUCAGGAAUUGGGAUCGCAUAGAUCAUGUAACUGAAGACCCUCUUAAGAAUUGGUGGUCAUCCCUGAUGUCCUCCUGGAGAUGGAGCCUAACUGUCCUGGCUAUUGUAGCUGCCUGUGUAUUGGUAGGCUGCUGUACUCUGUAUUGUUGUGGUCUUUGGGCACGAUGCUCCACCCUGUGGGCUAGGGUCCCCACCACCUAGGGGGUGGAAUGUGAGCUGGCCUUGAGAUGAGUUAAGGCCAUGGGACCCAAGGCCACGAUUAGAGCAUGUUUGCAGAUGCAGUAAAUAAUUGCUAUACACAUGCGUCAAUUAUAUAAGAUUUAGAACAAAGAAAAUAGAAGUACGCAUGUGCUAGAGAUAUUCUGUAAGCCUAGUGAACAAAGAAACUCAGAUUGUGCAUGUGCUGGCAGAGAACAGAUAAAAAGCAGGACAGGUGCAUCAUAGGCGUGCACCUUCCUGUGGCAAUAAAAUGUUAACCCCA